AUCUGGCUUUUAUAUUGUUGCAAUCAUACUGUUCUAUAAUAGUGUGCUACCUGCUACAUUUGUAAAAACUGCACUGUGCAGUGCCUUACUGUAAUGUGUAGUGCAUCCUAUAUGUCUAUAUUGACUGGUUAGUUGUAUACUUUCAAUAUUGUGUUCUGCCAACAUACUGCAGUACUGAUUGGAGCAAUGGUGUACUUACUCUGACACUACUGUGUGGUGCUGUAUAUUUAUACUAUAUUGUGGUGCCUUGCAUAUUUAAUAUAUUGUGGUGUUGCUCUACACUUUAUUGUGCCAUUCUGUAUUCUUUUGUUUUAUAAUGUACAGUACCGCAGCCCAAGACAUGCCAGUAUGGCAGAGUAGUACAAUACAUUAUAGUACAUUAUAAAGAAGAGAAGCAUACUCUA